rnacentral:rRNA from 1 species
GAAAAGCCCCCGGCUUAACCGGGGAGGGUCCAUUUGGAAACUGGGAAACUUGAGUGCAGAAAGAGGAGAGUGGAAUUCCACGUGUAGCGGUGAAAUGCGUAGAGAUGUGGAGGAACACCAGUGGCGAAGGCGACUCUCUGGUCUGUAACUGACGCUGAGGAGCGAAAGCGUGGGGAGCGAACAGGAUUAGAUACCCUGGUAGUCCACGCCGUAAACGAUGAGUGCUAAGUGUUAGGGGGUUUCCGCCCCUUAGUGCUGCAGCUAACGCAUUAAGCACUCCGCCUGGGGAGUACGGUCGCAAGACUGAAACUCAAAGGAAUUGACGGGGGCCCGCACAAGCGGUGGAGCAUGUGGUUUAAUUCGAAGCAACGCGAAGAACCUUACCAGGUCUUGACAUCCUCUGACAACCCUAGAGAUAGGGCUUUCCCUUCGGGGACAGAGUGACAGGUGGUGCAUGGUUGUCGUCAGCUCGUGUCGUGAGAUGUUGGGUUAAGUCCCGCAACGAGCGCAACCCUUGAUCUUAGUUGCCAGCAUUCAGUUGGGCACUCUAAGGUGACUGCCGGUGACAAACCGGAGGAAGGUGGGGAUGACGUCAAAUCAUCAUGCCCCUUAUGACCUGGGCUACACACGUGCUACAAUGGACAGAACAAAGGGCUGCAAGACCGCAAGGUUUAGCCAAUCCCAUAAAUCUGUUCUCAGUUCGGAUCGCAGUCUGCAACUCGACUGCGUGAAGCUGGAAUCGCUAGUAAUCGCGGAUCAGCAUGCCGCGGUGAAUA